CUUUGUGAUGAUAUUGAAGAAUGUAAAACCAACACCUCAAACUGUGAACAAGUCUGCAUCAACACAAACGGAAGCUUCAUGUGCAGUUGUGACCCAGGUUUCAGCACCAAUGUGAUCAACUCUUCACUCUGUGAUGAUAUCAAUGAAUGU